AAGUAAUUUGCUGAGAAGAACUGGCUUGUUGAGUUGUAGGACAUAAGAAUCAUCUUGUUUCAGAGUUUCCCAACAUCAUUAGCAUACUCUGAAAAUUAGUACAAGGUUGAUAUUUCCAGCUGCCUGCGAGGUUCUGUUGUGCGAGACAUAUCCUGAAGAAGUGGUCAUUGUGCCAUCAUGGGCACUGCUCAUCCUAUAGCACACAGGUGUCAAGAGCAUUUGAGGAGUGAAGAGCUGAGCAGUGCUCCCAGGUACCCCAAAGUGCCUCUCCCAGCUGUGACCAGAUCUCAGGCCACAGGGACAGUCAGUGCUGCUGUCUCCAUUGGGCUGUCAAUGAUAUAGAUCCAGCACAGCGUUCUCCCUGCUGAGGCCCUGGACUUCAAUCCGUGCAGAUUUGGUGUUCCACGCAGAUGAACCCAUACAGACGCCAUCAAAGCAUCCUGGGG
rnacentral:lncRNA from 1 species